CUCUUUCACCGACAUUCACUUCUUCAAGAGUUACAUCUCCACGGGCGUAGUGAGCAUUAUCUUGCACUUGAGUGCCCUCACGAUCCGCUUGUCUUUGCUCACAUCGAAUUUGUUUGCUGGAACACUUUUCAUCCAUUAAUUACACCUUCUAUAUCUUGUUAUGGCGAAAAGAAGAUGUGUGCUUUCAAAGAAGGUCACUGAUGAGCUUUCUUUGUAUUUUUCUUUUUUCGGGGCUCAUUUGUAUCAGUUGCACACUUACCUUUAAUUUAUUUGUUCCAUCUCUUUGCUUUAGAGAAUGGUGCAUGGUAAUUUUAAUUCUUCUAUAAUGCAUGUUGCGAGCUGUGUUCUCAACCUGCCAUGUACUUCUCAAUUCUUUGUUGGUUGUAUUUGUUUUGCUGGGAAUUUAAUAUUAAAUCUCUGUUCAAAUGUCUUGCA